CUGCGGAAGGAUCAUUAGUGAACAUAGGACGUCCAACUUAACUUGGAGUCCGAACUCUCACUUUCUAACCCUGUGCACUUGUUUGGGAUAGUAGUCGACCUAGUCGACGAACUCCUAUUCACUUAUAAACACAAAGUCUAUGAAUGUAUUUAAUUUUAUAACAAAAUAAAACUUUCAACAACGGAUCUCUUGGCUCUCGCAUCGAUGAAGAACGCAGCGAAAUGCGAUAAGUAAUGUGAAUUGCAGAAUUCAGUGAAUCAUCGAAUCUUUGAACGCACCUUGCGCUCCAUGGUAUUCCGUGGAGCAUGCCUGUUUGAGUGUCAUGAAUACUUCAACCCUCCUCUUUCUUAAUGAUUGAAGAGGUGUUUGGAUUCUGAGCGCUGCUGGCCUUUAUUGGUCUUAGCUCGUUCGUAAUGCAUUAGCAUCCGCAAUCGAACUUUCGGAUUGACUUGGCGUAAUAGACUAUUCGCUGAGGAAUUCUAGUCUUCGGACUAGAGCCGGGUUGGAUUAAAGGAAGCUUCUAAUCACAAUGUCUACAUUUAAGAUUAGAUCUCAAAUCAGGUAGGACACCCGACCCAU
rnacentral:rRNA from 1 species